rnacentral:rRNA from 1 species
UACGGGGGGAGCAAGCGUUGUUCGGAUUUACUGGGCGUAAAGGGCGCGUAGGCGGCGCAACAAGUCACUUGUGAAAUCUCCGGGCUUAACCCGGAGCGGCCAAGUGAUACUGUCGUGCUAGAGUGCGGAAGGGGCUACUGGAAUUCUCGGUGUAGCGGUGAAAUGCGUAGAUAUUGGGAGGAACACCAGUGGCGAAGGCGGCUCACUGGACCGGUACUGACGCUGAUGCGCGAAAGCGUGGGGAGCAAACGGG